AAAAAAAAGAGCUCCAAAUUUUUUUUGGUUCACGCUCUUUCACAACCAUUUUCUCUGACGUCCUCUCUCAGUUUCUCUACUCUUAUCGUUCUUUCGUUUGGUUUCCGAGAAAACGGUAGGAAAAUCACAGCAUCAAAAACCUCGGUUCGAUUAAUUUCUCAUUUUUCUCGUUUGCUUAGCUUCAGAUCCGAUCUUCUAUCGACUAACCGACUUUUCGAUUCCGAUUUGCUGCUCUGCAGACUUUCCACUGCUCGUCUCGAUCGCUGCGAUUCAGUAAAAAGGUUUGAUUCGCUGUUUCUCCGUGCAGAGAAGCGAAUCUUCGGCAAACAAAGAUGGUUUCGUUCGAAAUGAAUGAUCGGAAAAAGAUUGGAAUAGGAUUGACGGGAUUUGGGGUUUUCUUCUCAUUUCUGGGAAUUAUAUUCUUCUUCGACAAGGGAUUACUUGCCAUGGGAAAUAUCCUAUUCUUCUCAGGGGUGACUCUUACCAUUGGACUUAAGUCCACUAUGCAAUUUUUCAUGAAACCUCAGAAUUUCAAGGGAACAAUAUCGUUUGGUCUUGGCUUCAUCUUGGUAGUUAUAGGAUGGCCCAUUUUUGGCAUGAUUUUGGAGGCAUACGGUUUCAUUGUACUCUUCAGCGGCUUCUGGCCCACACUAGCUGUUUUUCUGCAGAGGAUACCUAUUCUUGGGUGGUUGAUUCAACAGCCUUACAUCAGAUCGCUUUUUGAUCGCCAUCGGGGCAGACGGGUGCCUGUGUGAGCUGGGAAGGAAACAAACAAGUGCACCCCAAGAUUGUGGGAAGGCCCACUUCUGUAAUCUGUACUUCCAGCUGUUAUCUGCAACUUUAAAUUUCCAGCCUUUGGUGAUGGAAAGCUGUUUCAUCAAGCAGACUUUGAUGCCAUGUGGCUGCAUUUCUAUCAGCAAAUCACCACUAUUUUUGGUCAUGGCGUUUUGAGUUACUCUUAAUGAAAUAUAUGGAGUGGAUUGGAGAUCAACUUGAAAGCAAAACAAAAAGUAUAUAAACUUUUUUUUUUUUGGUUGUCUUGGAUGUGUUCCGAGUUAGACAUUGUCGUUAGCGAGCAGGUAAAUGAUGUCGUAUCCAAGGAUUUCUC